rnacentral:rRNA from 1 species
UACGGGGGGGGCAAGCGUUGUUCGGAAUUACUGGGCGUAAAGGGCGCGUAGGCGGCCGUCUAAGUCGGACGUGAAAUCCCUCAGCUUAACUGGGGAACUGCGUCUGAUACUGGAUGGCUUGGAUUCGGGAGAGGAAUGCGGAAUUCCAGGUGUAGCGGUGAAAUGCGUAGAUAUCUGGAGGAACACCGGUGGCGAAGGCGGCAUUCUGGACCGAUAUUGACGCUGAGGAGCGAAAGCCAGGGGAGCAAACGGG